GUCGGAGCAUGGUUACCGAAAUCUUUAUCCGGCGAAGAUUGCUAGCUAGAGAAAGAUGUACUUUUUGGAUAAGGAUUUCAUGAAAAUAAGUAACCGACCCGGUUUAAGUUUUUGAUUGAAUGUGUUUCUUUUUUUCCUAAUUGACUAAUUUUGUUGGCACAUUCAUCUGAGAUAUGUUUUGUCUUGUUGUGUUCUGUCAUGAAGGGUAGGUAUUCUUAGACGUCAUGUCACAUUGUCAAUGGAGUUGAGGAAUAGAAUCGGACCAUAGUCUCUACAUUACAUCAAAAACUUUAUUUAUAUGAUUUUCUCCAUGUCAUCAACAAAUUACUAAUAUUUUAUUACAUGAAAACAUAAGGAUUACAUAACCAAAAUCAAAUUAAAAAAAGAAACAAAUACCAUAGUACUUUAGAAUCAUCAAGAUUUAAGAACAUAUACAUAUAAAAAAUAUCAUUCUUCAACCACUGAUGAAGUCGACAAGCUUGUUCAAAAACUUCAAAGCCUUAUCAGAAUCAGGUUUCUGCAAAUGAAACACAUGUCCUUCAUCUUUCUCCUCAACCACUUCCACAGUCCCUCCCCACUCACACUUCUCCAGCUUCGCCGCGUAAGCCAAAGCUUGCCUCGCAAACACAUCUUUCCCAGCCACAGCAACCAAAACCUUCUCACAACCCAACCCCGUAAAAUCCGACCCGGAUCCGUUUACGUUAAACAACGGGUCGUCAGUUCCGUUCACACUAUUCGGACUCGCGACUUUUUCCCAAACCUCCGCGAUUCCGCUUCUCGUCUCUUUGUCUUGCACAUCGAACUCAUCGACCGGAUCUGUUCCCCAGAAAGCUGGAUGAACAACUCCGAUGCCUUUGAUUUUGAUACCUAGCUUCUUCUCUUCACCAGCUUUCAUCGCCAGGUGAUGCGAUAUGUUACCUCCGGCGCUGUCUCCGGCGAGGAACACUCUCCCGAAAUCCGCGUGUUUGUUAAUCCAAUCUUCAGGACCACCAGAUCCGUUAGCAUGAGAGAAGGUCCAUUGGAUCGCGGACCAUACAUNNN
rnacentral:lncRNA from 1 species